GCUCCCUUGGCCUAGUGGUUAUGGCGCGGCUCUUAUGGUGAACUACCUCGCAGAGGAUUCUCCAUGACCGGAAUAGCUGAAGUCGAGGGUUCGAUUCCCCCAGGGAGCA